rnacentral:rRNA from 1 species
CAGCAGCCGCGGGAAUACGAAGGGUGCAAGCGUUAAUCGGAAUUACUGGGCGUAAAGCGUGCGUAGGCGGUGAGUUAAGUCUGCUGUGAAAUCCCCGGGCUCAACCUGGGAAUGGCAGUGGAUACUGGCUCGCUAGAGUGUGUCAGAGGAUGGUGGAAUUCCCGGUGUAGCGGUGAAAUGCGUAGAGAUUGGGAGGAACAUCAGUGGCGGAGGCGGCCAUCUGGGACAACACUGACGCUGAGGCACGAAAGCGUGGGGAGCAAACAGGAUUAGAUACCCGUGUAGUCCCUGUUUCUUAUAA